CCGGCCCGGCCCGGCCGCGCCGCCUCUCCCUGCCGUCUCUCUCCUCGCCGUCCCCGCGUGUGGCGCGGCCGCCGGGCCCCGGGGUUGAGGCGAGGAGCCCGCGGGCGGCCGGUCGGGCGGGGCGGCGGCGCUGACAGUGUAAAGUAAUCCCGAAAGCCCCCGAAAACCACGAAAUUGGACAGCGCAAUGCAAAAGGGAGCAGAGCUUUAGACCUGAGAGGAAACUACUCACAACUCUUCAGACUCCGUACUGAAAACAGAAGACCCUUCCAGAAGGGGAUGAACUUGGAGGAGUCCUGGAACUUCUGAAUUCUGUUUCAUAGCUUUCAGUAUAUUUUGGAAAGGAUUUUUUGACCUUUCCCUCCUGAAGAAAAAGCGGUUUUUCUCCUGCUUUCGCGUCACAACAAUCAACCCAGAAGAAUUCUGUGACCGCUGGUCACCAAGAAAUGUGCGGGGAUUUCUCCCCACCAGCAACCAAUCAGUUUUACAGCAGACACCAGUGGGGCACCCUCCCCUUCAGUCUCAACACUCUACCUGGAGAUAGUGUCAGGUCCCACAGAAUGAGGGCUCAUCCCUACAAGACUGCCCCUUCUGAUGCCACUCCCACGCCACAGGUUGUUUACCCAUGCUUCCUAGGAUCCCCAUGGCCCCCUCUUUGGGUUCCAUUACUUUGCUUGACAGACUCACACAAGUAAGGAAAACAUGUUUCCUGGUUUAUUUUGAAGGAUAUUACAAAGGAUGCAGAUGACGAGAUGUGUGGGGCAAGGUGUGGGGGAAGGGCAAGGGGCUCCCAUGCCCUCUUUGGGCUGCCACUCUUUAACAACCUCCAUGUGUUCAGCUAUCUGGAAGCUCCCCAAACCGAGUCCUUUUUCUGUUGUUGUUGGGUCGGAGUCUUGCUCUGUCACCCAGGCUGGAGUGCAGUGGCAUGAUCUUGGCUCAGGCUCACUGCAACCUCCACCUCACGUGUUCAAGUGAUUUCUCCUGCCUCAGCCUCCCAAGUAGCUGGGAUUACAGGUGCCCGCCACCAGGCCCAGCUAAUUUUUGUAUUUUUAGUAGAGAUGGGGUUUCACCAUGUUGGCCAGGCUGGUCUUGAACUCCUAACCUCAGGUGAUGCACCUGCCUCGGCCUCCCAAAGUGCUAGGAUUACAGGCGUGAGCCACCGCACCCAGCCUAGGGUUUUUGUGGAAACUCCGUUACAUAGGCAUGAUUGCUGAAAUCAUUGGCCAUUGAUGAUCAACCUUCUGCCACUUUCCCCUACCUGGAGAUUGGGAGUGGGCUGAAAGUCCCAACAGUCUAAUUCUGCCUCGGUCUUUCUGGUGACUAGUUCCCAUCCUGAAAACACCUUAGGACUGCCAGCCCAGUCAUAUCAUUAGUAUACAAAAAGACAUUUAUUACUUGGGAGAUUCCAGGGAUUUUAAGAAUUCUAUGCCAUGAAAUGGGAGGAAAACCAAAUAUAUAUAUUUCACGAUCUCACAUCCCCCAAUACAAAUAAUUGUUUCAGUAUGUGUUUGCCACUUCGGAACUUCUUUAGUGAUUUGUUUUGAUAAUACAAUAAAAAUUUUUAGUCAUC
rnacentral:lncRNA from 10 species